ensembl:lncRNA LINC01505 long intergenic non-protein coding RNA 1505
GGUAAUGGAGCAGAGACUGGAGCAGAGACAAGUUGUUCCCACUGAGCUCUCCUCAGAUUACAGAUUGGUCUGAUUAUAAAAGGAGAAUUGGAGGCUUACCAAACAUCUGAAGAGCUUUCCAGAAGUUUGGUCACUUCUGAAUUAGAGAAGUUAAAACCCAAUCACCUACUAAUGCUGUGGGAAAGUUCUGCAGGUGAUACAUCACAGGGGCUCAUGAAUGUGUCUUAAGCUGGGUCAUUGAAGUGGAAUGUUUUCACAAGACCUCCUCCACUUGCUACUGUGUCCGGAAUUGGUGGGUUCUUGGUCUCACUGACUUCAAGAAUGAAGCCGCGGACCCUCGCGGUGAGUGUUACAGUUCUUAAAGGUGGCAUGUUUGGAGUUUGUUCCUUCUGAUGUUCGGAUGUGUUCGGAGUUUCUUCGUUCUGGUGGGUUCGUGGUCUCGCUGGCUCCGGAGUGAAGCUGCAGACCUUUGCAGGAGUGGCAAAUCAAAGGCAUUGCAGCCUCUUUCAUCACUGCCGAUUGCUGAUGCCAACCAUGUGCCAAGUGCUUAAUACGUCACCUUAAAUCUUCUCAUCCACCCUCAGAGUAGCUGCAGCAUCAACCCAGUGCCCUGACUUUCAAGACGACUAUGAAAACACCCCAACUGCUGCUAAAUUACCAGCAACAAGGAUCUGACAUUCUUAUUCAAAAGAAAGAACACCGAAAUUGACCUUACCCUGACAAUAUGAUGGCUGAAGGAUUUAUGAUCACUUAUAACAUUUGAAAUUGAGGCGGAACCUGAAGAAUAAGACUCUGGUGAAAGGUCCUAUUUAUGCUUUUGAUGUCUUUCACUUGGACAUUUACCACAUGCCUAUUGGUAGGUUUGUUACAUAGGUCAGUUAAGGUGAUACAAGAAUAAAUAAAACACUAUCCCUAUCCUUUAAUAUCAUUUAUUUAUGGGGUCAAUCACAGAUUUUCAUUUUUCAAAAUCUUUGAUAAAUGUCAGAAUUAUGUUUUUUAAUAUUUUUACAGAAUUAUUACAAUAUAUGGUAGAGGAUGGAAGGCAAGGUAGUAUGAAACGGAAAAGAUAUUUUGAAUUAAGGUAUUUGGACCUGGAUUAAUAUUUUUGCUUUGGUCUUUAUUAGCUGAGUGACCUUGAGAAAGUUCUUCUACUAAAAAAGAACAAAGAUAAUAAUUACUUCAUGAAAUUGCUGUAAAAAACACAUAACAAGUAUAUCCAGACUCAACAGUGUAUGCUCAAAAAUGCAGAUCCUUUUUCCCUUACCUGCAAAUAAAGUCUUACAGUAAUACAGUGGGGGUAAAGGUUUAAACUGGUGGAUUCAAGAAGGGCUAUAGAAAGAGGUAGCAUCUUAAUAGGGGAAGGAGAGGAUCCAAGAAAUCAGAUCCAUUUUCUACAAAAAGAAAUGGGAAGACAGAUAAUUCAAGAAGAAAAGUUUACAUGAUUAAAGACCCGAAGUUAGAAAUAGUGAUGUGUCUCAAUAGUAAGUUAGGAAUUGGGGUGGACACAAUUGUUGGAAGAAGGAUGGUUUCAGCAAAGGCCCAAGUUAGGUGACAAUUUCAAGUGUUUGUGAAGAUAUAUGAACAAAAUUAUAAAGUAGUUAGGGUAUAAGAAAUAGGGAGGAGGGAAUGAAUUAACAUUUAUGGAGUGUCUUGCAUGUUCCAAGCACUGUACUACUUGCCUUAUAAACCUUUCUUCAAUAAACGCCUACAACAAUCCUGA